CAGAGCGAGACUCCAUCUCAAAACAACAACAACAAAAAAAGAGUUCUCUGAGCAGGUAGCUUUUAGCCACACCUUUUAUUUCCAGGCCUAUACCUGUGUGGCAAAGGCUUAAAUAGGAGGUAUUUCUGAAGGAAAAUUAACUCCAGUUUAUUUAAAUAUACCAUGCUUCGUGUAUAUAUGUCCUCUCCUUCCAAACCGGAAUUUCCAGUUAAAUUCAAGGAAUAAUUAUCAAGUAAAUACAACAUGACAAGAGCAAGGCUAAGUACAGGACAGUUCCUGCCUUAAGGAAUCUAAGGUGAAAGGAUAAGUCUAAUGGAAGCGCAUUCCAGUUUGCUGAUGAGCACAAAAGCCAUAGCAGCUAAGUGCCAUGGGUUCCAGAGAAGGAAAGUGUCUCCGUGCAGGCUGGCUUCAUAAAGGCUUCUGAGAUAGGCCUAAAGGAUAGAUCAGAUUUCAGGAAGUAAGCACAAGACAGGAAUAAGCAAGAAAUAAUGAUGACACACAAGGAAUGGAGAGGAAAGAAUGCCAUCAGAAGAAUAUCUUCAGAGAAUUGCACAAUAAACAAAGAGUAAUGGCCCUAGAAACAAGAACCAAUCCAGCAGCAACAAGCAUCUCUGGCAGUCUAUCAUUUCCCUUCAACUGAAAUCAGAUCUUCUUAAAGAAAUGCUUGGCUCUCAGACUGGGAACGGAAAUGUACAAGAUGUGCUUCGAUAUCUGGUCAAAUCAGAAACUCAAAAAGCUAUCAAAGUCUCUUUGGACUGUGUCAGAAAGAGGUGAAAAGACUCCCACUUGCCAAAGACGGGACAAUUUGAGCAUUCAUAAGACUAAUCACUAUAAUGGACUAUAGUGAACUGAAGUACAUCAAAUAUGUUUCAAUCCAUGAUUUCAUAAUGGUAUCUUAAAUAAUUGGUCACUUGUGGAGGACUCUACGUAACCAACUCAACAACUUGAAAACUGGUAAUAAAGAGAAAUCCUUUAUUCUGCCUUUCCUAUAGAAACCAUAACUGAACCCCAUGGUUGAUGAAGCAAUUUCUCUUACACAAGCAGUCUACCUAAUAACUGAAGAAAGGAGCGAGCAGGGCAGGAGAGUGGGUGUGGGGGAGAAAAAAGAAUAAAUACAUAAAUGAAGA